GGCAGGCCUAACACAUGCAAGUCGAGCGGUAACAGAUCUAGCUUGCUAGAUGCUGACGAGCGGCGGACGGGUGAGUAAUGCAUAGGAAUCUGCCCGGUAGUGGGGGAUAACCUGGGGAAACCCAGGCUAAUACCGCAUACGUCCUACGGGAGAAAGGGGGCUUCGGCUCCCGCUAUUGGAUGAGCCUAUGUCGGAUUAGCUAGUUGGUGAGGUAAUGGCUCACCAAGGCAACGAUCCGUAGCUGGUCUGAGAGGAUGAUCAGCCACAUCGGGACUGAGACACGGCCCGAACUCCUACGGGAGGCAGCAGUGGGGAAUAUUGGACAAUGGGCGCAAGCCUGAUCCAGCCAUGCCGCGUGUGUGAAGAAGGCCUUCGGGUUGUAAAGCACUUUCAGCGAGGAAGAACGCCUAGGGGUUAAUACCCACUAGGAAAGACAUCACUCGCAGAAGAAGCACCGGCUAACUCCGUGCCAGCAGCCGCGGUAAUACGGAGGGUGCGAGCGUUAAUCGGAAUUACUGGGCGUAAAGCGCGCGUAGGUGGCUUGAUAAGCCGGUUGUGAAAGCCCCGGGCUCAACCUGGGAACGGCAUCCGGAACUGUCAAGCUAGAGUGCAGGAGAGGAAGGUAGAAUUCCCGGUGUAGCGGUGAAAUGCGUAGAGAUCGGGAGGAAUACCAGUGGCGAAGGCGGCCUUCUGGACUGACACUGACACUGAGGUGCGAAAGCGUGGGUAGCAAACAGGAUUAGAUACCCUGGUAGUCCACGCCGUAAACGAUGUCGACCAGCCGUUGGGUGCCUAGCGCACUUUGUGGCGAAGUUAACGCGAUAAGUCGACCGCCUGGGGAGUAC
rnacentral:rRNA from 1 species